GAUGAACGCUGGCGGCGUGCCUAAUACAUGCAAGUCGAGCGAACAGACGAGGAGCUUGCUCCUCUGACGUUAGCGGCGGACGGGUGAGUAACACGUGGAUAACCUACCUAUAAGACUGGGAUAACUUCGGGAAACCGGAGCUAAUACCGUAUAAUAUAUUGAACCGCAUGGUUCAAUAGUGAAAUACGGUUUUGCUGUCACUUAUAGCUGGAUCCGCGCCGCAUUAGCUAGUUGGUAAGGUAACGGCUUACCAAGGCAACGAUGCGUAGCCGACCUGAGAGGGUGAUCGGCCACACUGGAACUGAGACACGGUCAAGACGCCUACGGGAGGCAGCAGUAGGGAAUCGGCCGCAAUGGGCGAAAGCCUGACGGAGCAACGCCGCGUGAGUGAUGAAGGUCUUCGGAGCGUAAAAAUCUGUUAUUAGGGAAGAACAAAUGUGUAAGUAAAUAUGCACGUCUUGACGGUACCUAAUCAGAAAGCCACGGCUAACUACGUG
rnacentral:rRNA from 1 species